rnacentral:rRNA from 1 species
GAUGAACGCUAGCGGCAGGCUUAAUACAUGCAAGUCGAGGGGCAGCAUGAUUGUAGCAAUACAAUUGAUGGCGACCGGCAAACGGGUGCGGAACACGUACACAACCUUCCAAUAAGUGGGGAAUAGCCCAGAGAAAUUUGGAUUAAUACCCCGUAACAUAACGAUGUGGCAUCGCAUUGUUAUUAUAGAUUUUUCGCUUAUUGAUGGGUGUGCGGCUGAUUAGAUAGUUGGCGGGGUAACGGCCCACCAAGUCUACGAUCAGUAGCUGAUGUGAGAGCAGGAUCGGCCACACGGGGACUGAGACACGGGCCCGACUCCUACGGGAGGCAGCAGUAAGGAAUAUUGGACAAUGGACGCAAGUCUGAUCCAGCCAUGCCGCGUGAAGGAUUAAGGUCCUCUGGAUUGUAAACUUCUUUUAUAAGGGACGAAAAAGGGUCUUUCUAGAUCGUCUGACGGUACCUUAUGAAUAAGCACCGGCUAACUCCGUGCCAGCAGCCGCGGUAAAAC